UACGUAGGGGCCUAGCGUUGUCCGGAUUUACUGGGCGUAAAGAGCGCGCAGGCGGUCGUUCAAGUCGAGUGUGAAAGCCCCCGGCUCAACUGGGGAGGGUCACUCGAUACUGAUCGACUCGAAGGCAGAAGAGGGAAGCGGAAUUCCCGGUGUAGUGGUGAAAUGCGUAGAUAUCGGGAGGAACACCAGUGGCGAAGGCGGCUUUCUGGUCUGCUCUUGACGCUGAGGCGCGAAAGCUAGGGUAGCAAACGGG
rnacentral:rRNA from 1 species